UCUCUCUCUCUCUCUCUCUCUCUCUCUNNNNNNNNNNNNNNNNNNNNGUCUCUCUCUCUCUCUCUCUCUCUCUCUCUUGACUAAACAAAGUACUGUUGCAGCAAUUCCCGGGGAAAAGCAAAAUUCAUAUGGAAUGCUGUCCUCGACCUUUUAUUUAGAGCCACAUAUCAUCAAUAUCUAAAGUUUGGUGGAAUCACCUAUCCAUCAUAACGAGACAACAUGGGUUUGGCCAUAUCUCUCUCUGGCUACACCUGUUUUGUCUGAGCCUUCUGCAUCACACAUCGAGUAACAUUUUCUAUUGAAGCUUCCAUUUCCUAAUCUGGUGGGAAGAAAAGUUGUCUUCCGCUUCUAUCUUUUCCGUGCAAUAAGAAUAACCAAAUGGCACAACAAGUGCAAUCAAUAGAUGCUUCGGUGGAGACCAUGCUGCAGAGGGUGCUUGUCAACCUUGCCUACCUUCUGCAAGUAUAAAUACCAAAAAAAGCUGGCUUUGCCUUCAUAUAUUUAAUUCCUUUGGUGCAUCUGCAACCCUUGAAAUAGAGACAUUAAAGCAUAUGCUAGUUGGCUUCUUUUGAUAAGAGGUUCCUUAGCUUCAUGAUAUCCUAUUGUUCCUGCAAGGAAUCUGAUACCUGAAAACCUGCUCUUGAAGUUGGAACACUAUAAUAAUAAUAAGAGUUGGUCCAAUGCAUAUGAUUUAGUAUCAUAAUAAUUAUUUAGACCAAUUAUCGAGAAGUGAAACAUCAUGAGUCACGCUUGUGAUUCCCAUUCGCUUCCCUUCUUUUCUUUGUUGCAUUAUUGCGCGAGUGACGCCACCUCAGUUGACUAACAAAUGAGUGGCUUUCACUUCUUGAGGAAAUAGUGAUGAUAAAUAAUACCAAUCGUAUAGUGCAGCUUGGCAUCAUCAAGACAACAUGUUUCGGAGAUGAGAACAUACCACCAACGAGAGGAAUGAUAAGCUAUCAAACCAUGCCGCCCCAUGUUUCAUGAUGUCGGUCGGAUAAGAGAGCAUGCCAUCCACCAUCACCUUACAUCAUAACUACUAUCACAAAUCAAGAAAUCACAUACCACUUUUAAUUUAUAGUGCAUAUAAAUCUCUUUAAUUAAUAUAUAUUAUGUAUAAACGUGUCUGGUGCGUAUAAAGCGCGCGUAGGAUUUCGUCGUGAGGAAACAGCGAGUAAAGCUAACUGGCAACGAAACGGUAGAGGAGAGACAGCAAAAGGUGGUUCGUUCAUUAUAAAUAGACCCCCGCGAAAGCCCACGCCGUCGCCUUCUCCCACCCUUCCCCUGCUCUUCCUUCACGGGCUUCUCCUCACUCCCCUCUCGAAGAGUGGAGAAGAAAUCUAGGGCUUCGAAGGCGGCUUUCUCGUGCCCAUCGUUGCUCCUUGUCCCGUGGCUAUUUGUUUGGAGAUCUACGGUUGUUUAUUGACAGGAAGCCGAGGUUCUGAUAGAUUGGUCGCGGCGAUGUCUCGAGUGGAGAAGAUGGCAUCCAUUGAUGCCCACAUGAGGCUUCUCGCCCCCGGGAAGGUCUCCGAGGACGACAAGUUGGUCGAGUACGACGCCCUCCUUUUGGAUCGGUUCCUCGACAUCCUUCAAGAUCUGCAUGGCGAUGAUAUCAGAGAAACGGUAUACGAACUCUGCUCCUAUUCGCUGUUAUCUGACCUUCAUAAUUUCAUUCGAUCUUCGCCAUGGAUUUGACGUGAACGAUAAGAUGAGAGGAUUCCUGAGGGAAACGGCCGUUGGUCGGGUCGACUGGCUUGAUGAGUAUUGUGUCCGAUGGUACUUUUGUUGAUCCAUCAUUUAUUUGUGGAGGAAUCGGAUCUUGUUUUCCCUUUCCGUUAAAUGGUUGGUGGAUUGACUUUUUGAAUUUCGAGUGAUUUUGUAUCUGAUUUUUAACUUCUAAAUAAAUUUAUUUAGCUUGAUUCAAGAUUUGUCUGGCUGAUGUUGGGGAAAUGCUAAUGCCAGUUCCAAUGCACGCAAGGAUAUUGUCGUGAUCCUUGUCAUUUGAUCGUGAUUUUAAGUAAUUAUUAGACACGAAGAUUUGAAGCUCGUCUUAGCUUUGUUAUUCUCUCAAAUUUGAUAUUUUGCUUUCAUUAUUUGAUGCCAUCUUUCUUGAAUUCUGAGGGAGCUAAUUGACUGUUAAUUUUUUGCAAAUCGAAACUACUGGUAAACCCUGGGCUGUCGUAUGCUGUCAGGUUCAAGAUUUGUAUGAGCUGUCUGCUGAAUAUGAAGGGAAGCAUGAUCCUGAGAAGCUGGUGGAGCUGGGGAAUGUGCUGACUAGUUUGGAUGCGGGUGACACAAUUGUGGUCACCAAAUCAUUCUCACACAUGCUUAACUUGGCCAACUUGGCUGAGGAGGUGCAGAUUGCCUAUCGUAGGAGGAUCAAGCUAAAAAAAGGAGAUUUUGCUGAUGAAAAUUCUGCAAUUACUGAAUCUGACAUAGAAGAAACACUCAAGCGUCUCGUGAUGCAGCUAAAGAAAUCCAAAGAAGAGGUUUUUGACGCUCUGAAAAACCAGACAGUCGAUCUGGUUUUGACUGCACAUCCAACUCAGUCAGUCAGAAGAUCCUUGCUUCAGAAGCAUGCCAGGUUUGCUAUUUAUUGAUAAUCAUCUGCUUGCCAAAUGCCUCCUGCACAUAUAAUUCUAAAUUCCUUUCAAUUUUUAAUUACCGGUGUAGAUGCAUUGAUUGACCUGGUCUGUUUGUGGUAUAAAUACCUGAAAAUGAUGCAUAAUCAUUUUCUUAUGUUUUUUUGGUUUCCCAUUUUCCUUUUCUUCCUGUACUCUUUUUGACAUAAGUCUUUCUUUAACAAUACAUACCAGCAUCGAAGGUGAGUCAUUUUCGGGCACAUGUCAGUUUCUUUUGCCCUUACUAUCCCAGGUAAAACUGGACAAUAUUUGCUUCCUAUCUCCAACAUAUACAAUUUUUAUUAUCAAAGAACUAUUGUACUUUACAAAUUUCUCUGCAAGUGUAACAUACUUGUGUUUUAAUCCUGACAAUGUCUCUAAGAGGCAGAGAUUUGAUAGAUGUUUCUUUGAAAGUCUUAGAGAUGCCUUUUGUGUACCAUUCCCCGGAAUUUUAACCGGCAAAUGGAAUUGUAAUGUAAGAAUAGGUGCCAUCUUCUGAAAAAGGGACAGUUUUUUAUUCAUACUGGACAUUUUAUUCAGGAUAAGGACUUGUUUAACUCAGUUGUAUGCCAAAGAUAUUACCCCUGACGACAAGCAGGAGCUUGAUGAGGCCCUUCAGAGAGAGGUAAUUCUUCACAACAUGUGCACUUAAUUUCAGUCAUGAACCAUUGCAUAUUAUCAAUCUAGAUCCUAAUUGUUUUUUUCCUUGAGCCUGAAGCUACAUUCUAAUAUCAGUCCCUUUCCAACUCCUCUUAUGUACUUACUGUUCUGCUUUUCAAUUGGUUUGAUUUUGUGUAGAUUCAAGCAGCAUUUAGGACUGAUGAAAUCCGAAGAACUCCUCCAACGCCUCAAGAUGAAAUGCGGGCUGGGAUGAGCUAUUUCCAUGAAACCAUAUGGAAGGGUGUCCCUAAAUUCUUACGUCGUGUUGAUACAGCAUUGAAGAACAUUGGGAUAAAUGAACGUGUGCCUUAUAAUGCCCCUCUUAUUCAGUUUUCUUCUUGGAUGGGUGGGGAUCGUGAUGGUAUUGAUCAUGUCCCUUAUUUCUAAAAAAAACCUUCAUUUGGUUAAUAAUUACUUAUCUAGGACCAUUUUUUCUUUUCACAAAAUACAUAAUUAUGUAAUUAGAAAGGGAUACUUAUAAUGUUAUAAUGCUUCUUUAUGCAUGCAGGAAAUCCUAGAGUUACUCCAGAAGUAACAAGAGAUGUAUGCUUGUUGGCUAGAAUGAUGGCUGCAAAUUUGUACUAUUCACAGAUUGAGGAUCUAAUGUUUGAGGUACUAAAUUGUUUCCUCAUUGUGGUUAUCGGAAAUUUCCUUUGCAUCCUUGUGAAUCAGAAAGUUAUAUAUUAGAUAUUGUUGAUUUCCUGAUUUAUACAUCAGUGACUUAAUAUUUUCUUGUAGCUGUCUAUGUGGCGCUGCAAUACAGAACUGCAAGUACGUGCAGAUGAACUACACCGUUCCUCAAAAAAGGAUGCAAAACACUAUAUAGGUAUCUUCACUUUGCUUUGUUAUGGUCUGACGCUUUAGAUAUGCAUAGUUUCUAUUUCCUUGUAGCCGUAUUCGUAACUUAUUUUGUUUGACAUAUGUUGACUUGGCUCCAUUUUCUGAGAAAUCUGAAAAAAAAGAACUAAAAUCAUAUUUCAAGAUUCAAAUUUAAUCAGCAUCAUUUGUGAAGAUUCAAGGCAUCUUAAUGAGUUUGCUUAUGGUCUGUUCCUAGGUGGGUUUCCCGCUGCCAUCAAUGAUCUCUUCGUUUCUUCUGAAGCAUGGUUUUUCCCCAUAAUUUCUGUAAUUUAGCAUGUCACUUUAUUUUCUCCAAAAUGAUCCUAAUAGUAUGUGGUGCUCAUAAAUGCAACAUAUGAAGUCUUGAUUUUCUUCGUACAUCCAAGACAUGUCUCGAUCUACUUUCGAAAAUAGGAAAUCGUAAUUACCAGCAAAUUGAUUACUGUUUUUUUAUGGAUAAGAUCUCAUCAUGAAAUUUUAGUGGUUUAGAUAAAGUAGAUGUGCCAACAUUUGUAAAGGAAGGAACCAAAGGUAAGUGAGAAAGGGAAAAAUAAUGGUAAAACAUGAAAGGGGAAUUUGUGCCAUGCAAGUUCAAGGUCCUUUUGAGGCUGUCCUGUAGCAAGAUCAUCUACAAGGAGUCAUUAGUGGUUUUCUUUUGCAUAUUGACUUGAAGGGAAAUAUAUGAUUGGGUGGAUCGAUUAGGAAUUACUGUUAAACUUAUAAAUGAAAUGUGUAUCAAACAUUUCUACUUGAAUCCAUUUAAAGAAAGUUCAAAACAACAUAAGCACUAACAUAUGAAAAAUUAUGUAAAUGGAGGGUUUAAUAUAAGUCAACCCAAACAUCUGAAAAAUUGAUGAGCUUUAGAUUUAGUUUGCUUCUCAUCAUCCUUACCAGUGAAUUGAAUGAUUCAAGAUGUAAGGGUAUGGUAUGCAAUAGAGGAGGGUGCUAAGACUAAAAUUGUUCUCAUUCGGUUGUAGUUGUUGUGAGUUGGCAAAGACGGAGGCAACGCGAUAGCUAGAUGAGUAGGCGAGGGGGAAGAAGUUGGAUUUACCAUGAAGCAAGGUUAAUUGGCAAACCCAGUAUUGGCAUUUGUACACUGAUCUUGAAUAUUCAACAUUCCAAGUAACUACAUUGUAUAUACUACCUUAACAGUUUACUGAUUUAUUCCUCUGAGCCCUUUUUGGUAGCUUAGAAUCCAUUUGCAUUUAUUCGAUGGCUAAUAUGUCCAAGCGAAGGCUUUAUAUUUGAUUCUGUACAAUGAUCUCAUAUAUCAUUUAUGUUGAUCAUAUUAGAGACAAAUGCUUUUAUGAAUUUAAAAACAUAUGGACAUCAAUUAAUGUGUUACUCACUUUCCAUUGUCUUUUGAACACAGAGUUCUGGAAGCAAGUUCCUUCAAGUGAGCCUUAUCGUGUUAUACUCAGCGGCGUGAGAGAUAAAUUAUACAACACACGUGAGCGCUCCCGCCAUUUACUUUCCAAUGGAUAUUCUGACAUUCCUGAGGAAGCAACUUUCACUGAUGUGGAGGAGGUAUUGUGAUGUAGCCGUAUUCAUUUUAUCUCUGAUAGAGUUGUUGAAUCUUUCUAUCUUAUAAGAUGUAUCUGGAGCUUCAUCUUUUGAAGUAGAUUUUGUUCCACACAUCUGCUGGAAACAAGACUUGGAAUAUGGCUAAGAGGACUUAUAUUUCACUGCAUUUAUGCUACAUCCUGUUAAUGGUCUGUUUUAAUUUUUCACUGGCCAUUUUGCAGUUUUUGGAGCCUCUUGAACUCUGCUAUAGGUCACUCUGUGAUUGUGGUGAUAGGCCUAUUGCUGAUGGUAGCCUUCUUGACUUUUUGCGCCAAGUGUCGACCUUUGGUCUGUCUCUUGUCAGGCUUGAUAUUAGGCAAGAAUCUGACAGGCAUACUGAUGUUAUUGAUGCUAUCACUAAACAUCUGGGAAUCGGUUCCUACCGCGACUGGCCUGAGGAGCAACGCCAGGAAUGGCUGUUGUCUGAACUUAAUGGAAAACGCCCGUUGUUUGGCCCUGACUUACCCAAGACUGAUGAAAUUUCUGACGUGUUAGAUACUCUCCAUGUCAUAGCAGAACUUCCUUCAGACAACUUUGGGGCUUAUAUAAUAUCAAUGGCGACUGCUCCAUCAGAUGUUUUGGCUGUUGAGCUGUUGCAACGUGAGUGCCAUGUGAAAAAGCCAUUGAGAGUCGUCCCAUUGUUUGAAAAACUUGCAGAUCUUGAGGCUGCUCCUGCUGCUUUAGCCCGACUCUUCUCGAUAGAUUGGUACAAGAACAGGAUCUGUGGGAAGCAGGAAGUCAUGAUUGGAUAUUCGGACUCAGGGAAGGAUGCUGGGCGAUUUUCUGCAGCUUGGCAGUUAUAUAAAGCUCAAGAGGAGCUCAUAAAAGUUGCAAAGGAUUAUGGAGUGAAACUGAUGAUGUUUCAUGGGCGUGGGGGAACUGUUGGAAGAGGUGGUGGUCCUACUCAUCUUGCUAUACUAUCUCAGCCACCUGACACAGUUCAUGGGUCUCUUCGGGUUACUGUUCAAGGUGAAGUCAUCGAGCAGUCUUUUGGGGAAGAACAUUUGUGCUUCAGGACACUCCAACGUUUCACAGCUGCUACUCUUGAGCAUGGAAUGCAUCCCCCUAUAUCCCCAAAGCCAGAAUGGCGGGCUUUGAUGGACGAAAUGGCUGUUGUCGCCACAGAGGAAUAUCGAUCUAUUGUCUUCCGAGAACCACGUUUUGUUGAAUAUUUCCGCCUGGUAAGUAAUCUAGCUUUUUUAUUUGAAAUAUUCCUUAAAAAUGAUUCAUUGAGCCUGUAGCUAGCAUGUGUAAAUUACAGUUCCCCACCAUAGUUUCAGUACCUGGAUAACCAUGACAAUACUUUUAUGGAAAAACUACAUCUACUUUGAAAUGAUACUUCUUUUUUGUUUGUGUGUAGAUGUGUGUGUGGAGGCUCUAAAUUGAGUAUCAAAGACUGGUGAACAUGAUCAUUGACAAUGUAGAUCUUUUGAAUUAAAAAGAUCAUCUGUCUGCUGUUCUGUAACAACUAACAAGUACAUGCAUAUUUAAUUAACAUAUAGAAAUUAAAAAAAUUGUACCAUGUUUGUAUUAUUUGAAAGAUUAUGAAUGAGAUCAAUGAUUUGGAUUUUUAAUUUUCAUAUUUUAGUUAGCAAAUACCUUUGCAUUCCAUGUAUGUCUUUGACUCAUUGAACACACAAAAGGUCCACAGGUUACAUGAUGCUUGUUUUGGGUUCUUUAAUUGUUAGUUAGAUAAUGUUUACUAAAAUUUUUAUCUUCAAUUUAAAGCUUCUAUAAUUAGCUUUUACCUAAUGGAUUGAGGCCUCAAUUGUAAAUCCUCCUGGUAGGACACCUCCCCCCUUUCUUCUCCCUCUUCAUAUUGUAAUUCCUGCUAUAUUUUUCAGGCUACACCUGAGCUGGAGUAUGGUAGGAUGAAUAUUGGCAGCAGGCCAUCAAAACGAAAGCCCAGUGGGGGCAUUGAAUCACUACGUGCAAUUCCAUGGAUCUUCGCAUGGACACAAACACGGUUUCACCUACCAGUGUGGCUUGGUUUUGGUGCAGCAUUCAAGCAUGUUAUGCAAAAAGAUAUCAGGAAUCUUCAUACUCUUCAAGAGAUGUACAACAAAUGGCCAUUUUUCAGAGUCACAAUUGAUUUGGUUGAGAUGGUUUUUGCUAAGGGAGAUCCUGGAAUUGCUGCUUUAUAUGAUAAACUGUUGGUUUCUCAAGAUUUGUGGAAAUUUGGGGAGCAACUUAGAGCCAACUAUGAAGAAACAAAGCGCCUUCUUCUUCAGGCAAAUUCUCUCAUCAACCUUUAUUUUAAUUGCAAGUCGGAUCAUUGUGAUUGUUACAAAAAGUUAAGAUGUUUUGAUUGCUUUAAAUUGUCAUUGUUGGUUUUAAUCUAUAUGCAUCCAAUCAAUCUGAUCUACAACUAAAUAUACAUCAGUUUGAAGCUUAUUUUCCAUGGUGAGAUGAUAUUUUCAGAAAAAGGGAAAUUACUUUAUCCAAUAUUAGCAGUUAUACUUAAUGACUUCAAAUACACAAAGGGGAAAUUAUACUCGGAGUAAGAUUUUUAAUUCCUUUUAACGUCAUCCUUCUUAUUAGUUUAACUUUGAAUUAAAAAGAUAUAUGGAAUGCAUUUUAGAGGAAGGUUGGGUAGCAUACCGAAGUAAGUUUUCCUUUCAAGCAUCCAGGAAAGAGAUCACGGUAAUUCUACCACAUCAAAUGUUUGCUAAAGUAUCCUUGGAUUGCUCUUGUUAUCAGCAUGUCUUAUACGAUCGUAGGUGCUUUUAUAUAGUCAACUUUAGUUAAGAGUCCCUUUAUAUGCGUUCAAGCAUAACUAUCAUAUAUGAGACCGUUAUGACUAAUAUGUCCGUCCUUUCGGGAAAUAUCAUCUCGAAAUAUGUUUCAAGAAAAGGUUACGAGUUCAUUGUUUAUGUUAUCAAUUUUCAAAUGCUUAGUUCUGAAAAGGCUACUGCAAUUAUUCAUUCUAGGUUGCUGGUCACAAAGAUCUUUUAGAAGGGGAUCCAUAUCUGAAGCAGAGACUACGCUUGCGUGAUGCCUACAUUACAACUUUGAAUGCCUGCCAAGCUUACACUUUGAAGAGGAUCAGAGACCCUUCCUACCAUGUUAACGUGAGACCUCAUCUCUCAAAGGAGAUAACAGAGUCCAGCAAACCAGCUGCAGAACUGGUGAAGCUUAAUCCAAGCAGCGAAUACGCCCCUGGGUUAGAGGACACCCUCAUCUUAACGAUGAAGGGUAUUGCUGCUGGACUGCAGAACACUGGUUGAAUUAUGUGCUCUGCGUAUCUCCUCAAUAAAGCAUCGCAAACUACUGUUAUUUUAUGUAGCUAAUUUUUGCCAUGGCAGCGUUGCUGCUUUUGUCGGUUCCCGAAGACAGCAACCAGUAGUUCUGAAACACUUUCAGCUUUGCCACCUGAUUACUAAUGGCAAGAAAUAAGCCUUGUUUGGGAAGCUGAUGGCAAAAUUAAUUCUCUCGGUGUCUUUCUUCCUUUUGUUUUUUUUGUCUUUUCGUUUUUCAGUUCACAUUUAUCAUGAGUCUGGAAUUGAUCAAAAUCUCCAAGAGCUUUCAUGUUUCCAAUCUUCCACACUGGGGCAUUCUGAUAUGUUGCACUGUUUGGCUAUAUGAUUUAAUCAGAUGUUCUUGGUCUGCUUCUCAGAUUGAUACAUUUCCUGGGAUGAUGUCGGAACUGAGGUUUCUGUUAACUUUCAUUCUUCCGCUCUUGCAUUACACCUUACAGGUGCUCCAGGGACUAAAGCCAUCGUUCUAAGUUGGUAAGAGACUGUGAUUAGAAUAACUGGAAUAUUUCUGCUUUGCCUGUGUCAGCUGUUCACAGUAUUCACGAGUAGUUGCUGCUGCCUAUCUUUUAUGUAUUGAUUGAUAACUGGUUUAGGAAGUUGCUCUAAAUGUGUUUUCUUGAUGCUUCAAUCCGUGUUUCUCUUCUCUCUCAUCAAAACCAAGCUGGAUUCUAUAUCGUGACAAGUGCUCGUUCAUCAUAAUUAACAUCUUAAAAAAGCCUUUCUUUGCGAGUACACUUUGAUUCUAUUCCUGUUUGUUUUAUUUGCUCUCUCUUUUCCUCCCUACUCGAUCUUAUCCUUUGCUCACCCUUUCAUAUUUGCAGGAGCCAUCGUGUGAGUGAAGAAGAAUAUGUGGUGAUUGUCACAAGAUGCAUAUCCCUUUGUGAGGAUGACCACUUGGAUGCACUUUGCUAGGUGAGAAAUGCCUAUAGUCAAUGGUUCUCAAGUGCAAUUGCUUACCCUACUCCUCAACUUGCACUUUUCACAUACUUAUCUUGCUUUUGCUUGUCCAAAUGGAACCAUAUCAAUAAUCCCCAGUCUUACACUAUUCAAAUGUUUUGCCCAACUUUUUCUUUCUCCAAAAGAAACUCCAGAAUAAGUCACUAUACAUCUUUCAAGUUGAGGUGGCUGGUUGUCGACUUUUUGGUUCUCGACCCAGUAAGGAGGUUGGGAAGAAGCCCAUAGGAUGUUUCCUUUGAGCUGGCUGGUUGUGCUAAACACGCUUCCUGAGGUGAUCGUAGCCAACUAAGACUUGCUCACAACUCGCAAAAAAGGGUCAUAUCAUACAUAGGUGUUGCGAUGAUGCAAUUGUAAGCUCUCAUGUUUAACCGAGGUAGGAUGAGAUGAGAUGAGAUGGAUAUAACAAGACGUCGAGAAGUCAUCGGAGAUAGUCUUCAGACGAAGAUCGAGAUAAAAAGCUAAAAACAGAGUUAUACCCAUUUCAGAUAUUUUAAAUUCCCCCUCAGGAAAUGUCCAUUCCACACAGCCCUUUCCUCUAUAUGUAGUAGAAGCCCCCCCCACUUCAGAUAAUUCCAUUACCGACAAAGGGAAUGGAGAAGAACAAUUCCCUCACACCAAACUACAAGUCUUGUUUGACAAAGUCACUCCUUUUGCUUUUCUUUUGAGUACUCUUCUUUCUGCUUUCUUUGGCUAAUCCAUAACCAUUUAUGUGUCUCUCUCCUCUGCAGUAUGGCUCUCCACUUCUCCUUGCUCCCCCUAUCCCUCUCAACCUAACACUACAACUCUCUCUCUCUCUCUCUCUCUCGGCCUAACACUACAACAAAUCCAUCUGAUGGCACAAGUAGAGGAAGCAGUAAGCUUCAAACUUUUCGGGACGGUGAUCCAAAAGGGGGACAGACAAGCCAAGGAGGAAGAGGAG
rnacentral:lncRNA from 1 species